rnacentral:lncRNA from 1 species
AUUUUCUGUUGGAAGUCGGGAUUCGAGGAUGUCGGAGCUUGCCCUAAGGGUAAAAGAAAGGUUUUUAAGAUGUUUGUAAAGUGUUUUUAUCAUGUUUGCAUGUUUUUGAGUUAAGAAAAUUGAGUUUUGAAAUGAAAAGACCAAGGGGACAAAAGCCAGGUUCGGCCGCCGAAGGUGAAGUUCGGCCGCCGAAAGUUGCAUGGUUUCGCAUGCAUGUUAGGCCGCCGAAGGAGAGUCGGUUGGCCACUACAAAAGCCCCUUUGCCCGAGACUUG